AUUGAACGCUGGCGGCAGGCCUAACACAUGCAAGUCGAGCGGAUGACGGGAGCUUGCUCCUUGAUUCAGCGGCGGACGGGUGAGUAAUGCCUAGGAAUCUGCCUGGUAGUGGGGGACAACGUUUCGAAAGGAACGCUAAUACCGCAUACGUCCUACGGGAGAAAGCAGGGGACCUUCGGGCCUUGCGCUAUCAGAUGAGCCUAGGUCGGAUUAGCUUGUUGGUGAGGUAAUGGCUCACCAAGGCGACGAUCCGUAACUGGUCUGAGAGGAUGAUCAGUCACACUGGAACUGAGACACGGUCCAGACUCCUACGGGAGGCAGCAGUGGGGAAUAUUGGACAAUGGGCGAAAGCCUGAUCCAGCCAUGCCGCGUGUGUGAAGAAGGUCUUCGGAUUGUAAAGCACUUUAAGUUGGGAGGAAGGGUUGUAGAUUAAUACUCUGCAAUUUUGACGUUACCGACAGAAUAAGCACCGGCUAACUCUGUGCCAGCCGCCGCCGUAACAC
rnacentral:rRNA from 1 species